rnacentral:rRNA from 1 species
UACGUAGGAUCCGAGCGUUGUCCGGAUUUACUGGGUGUAAAGGGUGCGCAGGCGGACUGGUAAGUCAGUGGGGAAAUCUCGUCGCUUAACGACGAAACUGCCUUUGAUACUAUCAGUCUUGAAUCCGGUAGAGAUCUGUGGAAUUCCGAGUGUAGCAGUGAAAUGUGUAGAUAUUCGGAAGAACACCAGUGGCGAAGGCAGCAGAUUGGGCCGGUAUUGACGCUCAGGCACGAAAGCAUGGGGAUCAAACAGG